rnacentral:lncRNA from 1 species
AUGGAAGGAGAAGGAGGAGGAGAAGGAGAAGAAGAAGCAGAAGACGCGGUGGUGCUUUCCUCGCGGCUGUCGCGGGGUCGGAGGCAGCAGGUCGACGUACGGCUGACUCGGAGGGUUUUGACGUGGAAGGACGUGAAGAAAACCACAAAGUGCGGCAACGUGGGCUUCGGUCACUUCUCCGGAACCGCGGCGUGCCACAGCGUCCAGGUGUGUGAGAUUGUGGCGGUCCAGGAUGGGGACGGCACCCACCCCAUCACCGAGCCCGCGGAGGGCGAGGCGGUUGCCAAGCAACACAAGAAGCCCCACCCCCACGCCUUCACAGGUACGCCAUCCAACCGCCGACAUCAUGAAUCAACCUCAUCGGCUCCAUAUCUAUGAGUGGUUCUGAUUGGCCGUCAAAAGAGACACUGGCCCCAGACCAGUUUCUGAAAAGUCGUUUAAUUAAGGUCCUACAUCAGAGAGGGGGGAUAUACGACUCCAGGAAUGUUGUUCCAGUAUUGCGACCUGUCUGUCAUGGCCAGCAAAUCCCAAAGCACACAGUAAACGUACAUUAUUAUAACUUCAAUGUAAUCUUUAGACACUUGUGUGAGGCUGUGGGUGUGUGUCUGUCUGUCUGUCUGUGUGUGUGCGUGGCUACAUGUUCGACCACUUACGACACAACACUCAGAAACAUCCUCAUCACAAGGAUCAGGAGGAAACUCCCUCAAACCCAGCGCUAAACAAGAGGAAACAGAAAGGACUGUGGGAUGUUCGAUGCUGUAAGAGGUGUGAUUUGUGAGCCAGAACAAGCCUUUGACAGACAGAACAACUACAACACCAUUUGUCAAUGUUGUUGAUUUUCCGUUCCACCAACAGUUAGCUACCCAAUCUCCAUAUCUCAAGACUUCAGAGCGUCCUCACGGUGAUAUGAGAGUCUAGACGGGCGCUCGUUGUCUUCCCCAUCGAUCACGCCCCAAAUGUCAACAUCGCCGUACGUCCACGCCAUCCGGCACAGAGCGGAAAGCCUCAUAACCGCCCCUGUCUCCGCUGUAGAUCGUUCAUCAAGUGUUGUGACCUCAGAUGAAAACACAGAGAAGGGCGCGGCAAUGUUCCCACUGCCCCCCCCCCCCCCCCCCAAUCCUCCUGUCGGUCUUAAACACACACAUCUGAU